AUGCCACAACGGCUUCCUGACGUGGCAAUUCAAUUCAUACUGGAGCA
rnacentral:ncRNA from 1 species